AGUUUAUGAACUUGUAUUUAAGUAUAUAUUUUGAAAAUAUAAAAAAGAGAAUUCUCUAUAAACUU
rnacentral:tRNA from 1 species